UUACGACAAGUCGAACAAAGCUGC
rnacentral:piRNA from 2 species